rnacentral:rRNA from 1 species
GAUGAACGCUGGCGGCGUGCCUAACACAUGCAAGUCGAACGGAGAUUUCGGACGUAAGUUCUCGGAUGGACGUCUGUAAUUCUUAGUGGCGGACGGGUGAGUAACGCGUGGGCAACCUGCCCUAUACAGGGGGAUAGCAGCUGGAAACGGCUGGUAAGACCGCAUAAGUCGGCGAGACCGCAUGGUUUUGCCGGGAAAUGAGCAAUCAGGUAUAGGAUGGGCCCGCGUCCGAUUAGCCAGUUGGCAGGGUAAAAGCCUACCAAUGCAACGAUCGAUAGCCGGACUGAGAGGACGAACGGCCACACUGGGACUGAGACACGGCCCAAACUCCUACGGGAGGCAGCAGUGGGGGAUAUUGCACAAUGGAGGAAACUCUGAUGCAGCGACGCCGCGUGAGUGAAGAAGUAUUUCGGUAUGUAAAGCUCUAUCAGCAGGGAAGAUGAUGACAGUACCUGACGAAGAAGCCCCGGCUAACUACGUG